AUUCCAGCUCCAGUAGCGUAUAUUAAAGUUGUUGCAGUUAAAAAGCUCGUAGUUGGAUUUCUGGCAAGGCAGAGCUAACCUGGUACUAUGUAUCGUGUGUUGGACUCGGUCUGCCAUCCUUCCAGAAAAGCAUCAUACCCUUCAUUGGGCCGUGGUGAUAGAUCUGGAACUUUUACUUUGAAAAAAUUAGAGUGUUCAAAGCAGGCGUUACGCUAUGAAUACAUUAGCAUGGAAUAAUAAUUUAGGACUUCAGUUCUAUUUUGUUGGUUUCUAGGACCGAAGUAAUGAUUGAUAGGGAUAGUUGGGGGUGCUAGUAUUCAGCGGCCAGAGGUGAAAUUCUUGGAUUCGCUGAAGACUAACUUAUGCGAAAGCAUUCACCAAGGAUGUCUUCAUUA
rnacentral:rRNA from 1 species